UCCGUAGGCGGGCAGCUAAGUCAGUGGUGAAAGUCUGCAGCUCAACUGUAGAAUUGCCAUUGAUACUGGUUGUCUUGAAUUAUUAUGAAGUGGUUAGAAUAUGUAGUGUAGCGGUGAAAUGCAUAGAUAUUACAUAGAAUACCAAUUGCGAAGGCAGAUCACUAAUAAUAUAUUGACGCUGAUGGACGGAAGCGUGGGGAGCGAACAGGAUUAGAUACCAUGGUAGUCC
rnacentral:rRNA from 1 species